rnacentral:rRNA from 1 species
CUCCCGACUGUUUACCAAAAACACAGCACUCUGCUAACUCGUAAGAGGAUGUAUAGGGUGUGACGCCUGCCCGGUGCUCGAAGGUUAAUUGAUGGGGUUAGCAUUAGCGAAGCUCUUGAUCGAAGCCCGAGUAAACGGCGGCCGUAACUAUAACGGUCCUAAGGUAGCGAAAUUCCUUGUCGGUUAAAUACCGACCUGCAUGAAUGGCGUAACGAGAUGGGAGCUGUCUCAAAGAGGGAUCCAGUGAAAUUGUAGUGGAGGUGAAAAUUCCUCCUACCCGCGGCAAGACGGAAAGACCCCGUGGACCUUUACUACAGCUUGACACUGCUACUUGGAUAAGAAUGUGCAGGAUAGGUGGGAGGCUUUGAGUAUAUGACGCCAGUUGUAUAUGAGCCAUUGUUGAGAUACCACUCUUUCUUAUUUGGGUAGCUAACCAGCUUGAGUUAUCCUCAAGUGGGACAAUGUCUGGUGGGUAGUUUGACUGGGGCGGUCGCCUCCCAAAUAAUAACGGAGGCUUACAAAGGUUGGCUCAGAACGGUUGGAAAUCGUUCGUAGAGUAUAAAGGUAUAAGCCAGCUUAACUGCAAGACAUACAAGUCAAGCAGAGACGAAAGUCGGUCUUAGUGAUCCGGUGGUUCUGUGUGGAAGGGCCAUCGCUCAAAGGAUAAAAGGUACCCCGGGGAUAACAGGCUGAUCUCCCCCAAGAGCUCACAUCGACGGGGAGGUUUGGCACCUCGAUGUCGGCUCAUCGCAUCCUGGGGCUGGAGCAAGUCCCAAGGGUAUGGCUGUUCGCCAUUUAAAGCGGUACGCGAGCUGGGUUCAGAACGUCGUGAGACAGUUCGGUCCCUAUCUGCCGUGGGCGUAAGAAGAUUGAAGAGAUUUGACCCUAGUACGAGAGGACCGGGUUGAACAAACCACUGGUGUAGCUGUUGUUCUGCCAAGAGCAUCGCAGCGUAGCUAAGUUUGGAAAGGAUAAACGCUGAAAGCAUCUAAGCGUGAAGCCAACUCUAAGAUGAAUCUUCUCUAAGCUCUCUAGAAGACUACUAGUUUGAUAGGCUGGGUGUGUAAUGGAUGAAAGUCCUUUAGCUGACCAGUACUAAUAGAGCGUUUGGCUUAUCUUUAAUAAAGCAU